rnacentral:RNase_P_RNA from 1 species
CGAGAGGUCUGGGCGACCACCGCGGACGCGUGGGCAACCGCGCGGCCGGGGAGGAAAGUCCGGGCUCCACGGGUCAGGGUGGUUGCCAACGGCAACCGGCCGCGAGGCCAGGGAAAGUGCCACAGAAAACAAACCGCCUCGCGGGUCACACCGCGCGGUAAGGGUGAAACGGUGCGGUAAGAGCGCACCGCGAGCUCGGUGACGAGCUCGGCAGGGCAAACCCCACCCGGAGAAAGAUCAAAUAGGGAGGGCGCAUGGCGACGACCCGCGUCGAGGCCUUCCGGGUAGAUCGUUGGAGGCCGGGCGCGAGCCCGGCCCUAGAGAAAUGGCCGCCGCCCCCUUCAUCGGGGGAGACAGAACCCGGCUUACAGGGCCUCUCG